rnacentral:rRNA from 1 species
CAUUAAUGAAACGAAUGUCGAGAAGGGUUGUAGCUGGCCUUUCGGGGCAUGUGCACGCCUUGAUCGCAUAUCUACCUCUCACACCUGUGCACUAUGUGUAGCUUGGGAUGAUCACGACGUUAGAAAUGAUGUCGAAAGCCCUAGCUAUGAUUUUUUAUAAACCCAUGUAUGUUAUAGAACGAUGUUAUAGUGCGUAACGGCACGAAUAUAUACAACUUUCAGCAACGGAUCUCUUGGCUCUCGCAUCGAUGAAGAACGCAGCGAAAUGCGAUAAGUAAUGUGAAUUGCAGAAUUCAGUGAAUCAUCGAAUCUUUGAACGCACCUUGCGCUCCUUGGUAUUCCGAGGAGCAUGCCUGUUUGAGUGUCAUGAAAUUCUCAACUGCCUUUUAGCAUUUAUGUUAAGGGUGAAGUUGGAGUUGGAGGAUAACUGCUGGCGCGACUCAGGUUGCUUGUUGGCUCCUCUUAAAUGGAUGAGCUUUUCUGAUGGGAUUAUAGCUCGGUAACGCUGAUGUGAUAAUUAUCUACGUUAGACGUGAAUGGCUCCUACGGAAAAGGGACGUCUUUUGACUUGUAACAAAUCUGACCUCAAAUCAGGUAGGACUACCCGCUGAACUUAAGCAUA